rnacentral:rRNA from 1 species
UGGGGAAUCUUGGACAAUGGGGGCAACCCUGAUCCAGCCAUGCCGCGUGAGCGAUGAAGGCCUUAGGGUUGUAAAGCUCUUUCACCGGUGAAGAUAAUGACGGUAGCCGGAGAAGAAGCCCCGGCUAACUCCGUGCCAGCAGCCGCGGUAAUACGGAGGGGGCUAGCGUUGUUCGGAAUUACUGGGCGUAAAGCGCGCGUAGGCGGACUGAUCAGUCAGGGGUGAAAUCCCGGGGCUCAACCCCGGAACUGCCUUUGAUACUGUCAGUCUUGAGUCCGGAAGAGGCGAGUGGAAUACCGAGUGUAGAGGUGAAAUUCGUAGAUAUUUUGGGAGGAACACCAGUGGCGAAGGCGGCUCACUGGCUCGAUACUGACGCUGAGGUGCGAAAGUGUGGGGAGCAAACAGGAUUAGAUACCCUGGUAGUCCACACCGUAAACGAUGAAUGCCAGUCGUCGGGUAGCAUGCUAUUCGGUGACACACCUAACGGAUUAAGCAUUCCGCCUGGGAGUACGGUCGCAAGAUUAAAAGCUCAAA